rnacentral:rRNA from 1 species
AGGGUUUGACAUCCCGUGCCACGCUCAGAGAUGGGCGGUCCCCGCAAGGGGCGCGGAGACAGGUGCUGCAUGGCUGUCGUCAGCUCGUGUCGUGAGAUGUUGGGUUAAGUCCCGCAACGAGCGCAACCCUCGCCUUUAGUUGCCAUCAUUCAGUUGGGCACUCUAGAGGGACCGCCGGCGGCAAGCCGGAGGAAGGUGGGGAUGACGUCAAGUCCUCAUGGCCCUUACACCCUGGGCUACACACGUGCUACAAUGGCGGUGACAAUGGGCAGCCAACCCGCGAGGGUGCGCUAAUCCCAAAAAGCCGUCCCAGUUCAGAUUGCACUCUGCAACUCGGGUGCAUGAAGGUGGAAUCGCUAGUAAUCGCAGAACAGCAGGCUGCGGUGAAUACGUUCCCGGGCC